rnacentral:rRNA from 1 species
UUGAAAGGGAAACGAUUGAAGUCAGUCGUACCGACGAGAAAUCAGCUUGUCGUGUGUUAACUUGUGGGCGUGCGUGAGUUUCGGCCUCGCUGUUUGCAAGUUUGUGCGCUUUGGGUGUACUUUUUCGUAUGGUUGGCCAACAUCAGUUUCGAUUACUAUAAAAUGACUGGCGGAAUGUAGCUUCGAUUUCGGUUGAAGUGUUAUAGCCUCUGGUAGAUGUGGUAAUUGGGACUGAGGAUUGCAACGAAUAUCCUUUGGGCUAUCCGUCUGGCCUCUGAAAGUUGCUUGGGUGCUGAAAGCUUGCUUAUGGUUAUCUAAGUUAACGGUCAAUAGGUUAGAACGCGAUUACAUUCGUUAAGGAUGUUGACGUA